rnacentral:rRNA from 1 species
AGUGAACGCUGGCGGUAGGCCUAACACAUGCAAGUCGAACGGCAGCACAGUAAGAGCUUGCUCUUACGGGUGGCGAGUGGCGGACGGGUGAGGAAUACAUCGGGAUCUACUUUUUCGUGGGGGAUAACGUAGGGAAACUUACGCUAAUACCGCAUACGACCUACGGGUGAAAGCAGGGGAUCUUCGGACCUUGCGCGAUUGAAUGAGCCGAUGUCGGAUUAGUUAGUUGGCGGGGUAAAGGCCCACCAAGGCGACGAUCCGUAGCUGGUCUGAGAGGAUGAUCAGCCACACUGGAACUGAGACACGGUCCAGACUCCUAAGGGAGGCAGCAGUGGGGAAUAUUGGACAAUGGGCGCAAGCCUGAUCCAGCCAUACCGCGUGGGUGAAGAAGGCCUUCGGGUUGUAAAGCCCUUUUGUUGGGAAAGAAAAGCAGCAGGUUAAUACCCCGCUGUUCUGACGGUACCCAAAGAAUAAGCACCGGCUAACUUCGUG